rnacentral:lncRNA from 1 species
CGCGCUCCUCAGGUGCCCCGCGGCGGCCGGCCCCGCGCGCCUCGCCGACUGGGAAGGGCCGCGCCGGUGUCGCAAGCCUCGUGAAUGGCCCAGCCCCGGCGCCUGUCCGAAGGUGACGGUCACCGGCUGUCCUCCGCCAAGGAUGGGGCGUGGGCCUCCCAGCUAGAGGCGGCGCGCGCGAACGCCCCCACGUGUGUGGUCCUCAGCCUCCCGCAUCCGCUUUGUGAGCUGGGAGCAAGUCCCAGCCGCCUGCGUAACCCAAGGGCUGUGCGGAGUAGCUGUUUUCCUUUGGCGUGAUGCAGAACCGGGGAAAAGAGGUUGUGCGGAGUGUCGGGCUUGGGGUUUGUUCCCGGAGUUGUGUUCACCACUUGCGGAAACACAAACUUCUGGAGUCCUGUCCUUUCACCCCUCCUUUUUCCCAGCUUUCAGCUCCUUUGAUCUUCAGCCUUCCCUAAGUGAAAUAACCGUGUUUAGCCUCUUCAUAGUAACUGUCAGCUGAAUCUGUUGAUUACACGUAUACAUUUGACUGCCUUGAAAAAGUCAUUCGAAUCAGGCUGCAGUACCUUCUUAAAUACCCAACUUUAGCCAGACCAUUCUUUCCUGGUAGUGCUAGCUGGAAAAGUUGUUAUACCUGAGGAUUAUUUUAUAGCUUUUGAAUAUUUUUAAAAAGCCGUGUUCUUAUACUGCACAGAUCUGCCUCCUGGGUUCUUUUUGUGCUCUGCUCAGAGGAUUCACUCGAGGAUUUACACUGUUGCAAAGCAAGAAUAAAAGGUGUAUUUUAGGUACUACACCAUCAACAAUUUUUUGGUUGAGAGACAGGUAAGCCAUUUCUUUGGAAAACCAAACUGAAAUGUGGGAUUCAGGUUUAGAAGUCAUUUUAAUAUUCAGGUGUCAUUUCUGAGGAUUGCCCUCUAGUUUUCUUUUCAGUUGUAGUUGUCUGAGGAAUUGAUCUUGUUUGCUAUCACUCCAGCACCCAGUCCAGAAACUUCCAAAGCAGGUACUUUAAUCAGAGGACAAAGGCUGUGAGAUUACAUGGUCAGCCCUUGAUGAGCCAAAACGGAGGCAGGUACCUGGUGUCUGAUACCCUAGAAUUUGCCCUGCUCUUGGGAGUUGUGGUUGAUAGGGGUUUACUACUCCCCAUUUCUAUGUCUUCAGGAGUGUUCAUGGCGGACACUUUCUGCAGCCUUCCUUGUCAGUCUGUUUAGAUUAAUGCUGCCAAAAAUACCGAAGAAGUUGGAUGCACCUUUGACAAACCCAUUAAUAAAGGCGAGAAUCCAAAUACUAGCUGAAGAGAUCUGGAGCUUUCCUGAGGAGGCUGACUUCUUUGUGAUGUGUUUCCUGUAGUGGUCGGGAGGGAAGGUGGGCUGUUACCUAAGAGAUGUUAUGCCAGACUGGUGCCCUUCUCAAGUCUUUAAGGCCUCCCCCUCCGCCAAUAAUAGGAUUUUUUUUUUUUUUUUUGAAAAAUUCAGUCUGGGUCUGACAACUCUUUUUAACUAAAGAAAUUAAUAAUAUGUAUGUAUAUACCUGAGAUGUCUUGUACAUUCUCAAAAGGCAUUAUGUAAUUCAGGACACGUGGCUUUUGAAAUAUUUUGCUUGGUAUUGGAGAUAAAAUAAUAGUUUAAGUUUUUGUGGUAAUGUUUAAAAUAAUAAUUAUAGUAGCACUGCUCUGCCCCAUCCUUUUGANNNNNNNNNNNNNNUUCAUCAAUUAGUCCAAGAAUACCUAAGCAUCUGUUACAUGAAACAUUAGAUAUUUUAAAGUAUUUAAAAUAUUUUUAUAUUAUUUCAUUUUAGUAAUCACAGUAGCUUGACUUCUUCAGCCAGGUGCCUCCACAAGCUUAAAAAUAGGUAAUGUGAAGGGUUGCACA